rnacentral:tRNA from 1 species
GCGAGGGUGGCGGAACUGGCAGACGCGCUAGACUUAGGAUCUAGUGGUUAACACCCGUGCGGGUUCAAAUCCCGCUCCUCGCACCA